CAGCAGCCGCGGUAAUACGAAGGGGGCUAGCGUUGUUCGGAAUUACUGGGCGUAAAGCGUGCGUAGGUGGUGGUUUAAGUCCGUUGUGAAAGCCCUGGGCUCAACCUGGGAAUUGCAGUGGAUACUGGGUCACUAGAGUGUGGUAGAGGAUAGUGGAAUUUCCGGUGUAGCAGUGAAAUGCGUAGAGAUCGGAAGGAACAUCUGUGGCGAAGGCGACUAUCUGGGCCAACACUGACACUGAGGCACGAAAGCGUGGGGAGCAAACAGGAUUAGAUACCCCCGUAGUCCCUGUCUCUUAUAC
rnacentral:rRNA from 1 species